UACCUGCUUAUCAAUAUGAUUCCUUCAUCUGUUAUGCAGCUGACAACAUUAUCAGUCCUAGUAAAUUAAUUAGCCAUACAUUUAACUUAUCGUCUCUGUCUGAAAACCUCCUCAUACAUUUAACUUAUCGUCUCUGUCCGAAAACCUCCUCAUACAUUUAACUUAUCGUCUCUGUUCGAAAACCUCCUCAUACAUUUAACUUAUCGUCUCUGUCUGAAAACCUCCUCAUACAUUUAACUUAUCGUCUCUGUCCGAAAACCUCCUCAUACAUUUAACUUAUCGUCUCUGUUCGAAAACCUCCUCAUACAUUUAACUUAUCGUCUCUGUUCGAAAACCUCCUCAUACAUUUAACUUAUCGUCUCUGUUCGAAAACCUCCUCAUACAUUUGACUUAUCGUCUCUGUCCGAAAACCUCCUCAUACAUUUAACUUAUCGUCUCUGUUCGAAAACCUCCUCAUACAUUUAACUUAUCGUCUCUGUUCGAAAACCUCCUCAUACAUUUAACUUAUCGUCUCUGUUCGAAAACCUCCUCAUACAUUUAACUUAUCGUCUCUGUUCGAAAACCUCCUCAUACAUUUAACUUAUCGUCUCUGUCUGAAAACCUCCUCAUACAUUUAACUUAUCGUCUCUGUCCGAAAACCUCCUCAUACAUUUAACUUAUCGUCUCUGUUCGAAAACCUCCUCAUACAUUUAACUUAUCGUCUCUGUUCGAAAACCUCCUCAUACAUUUAACUUAUCGUCUCUGUUCGAAAACCUCCUCAUACAUUUAACUUAUCGUCUCUGUCCGAAAACCUCCUCAUACAUUUAACUUAUCGUCUCCGUCUGAAAACCUCCUCAUACAUUUAACUUAUCGUCUCUGUUCGAAAACCUCCUCAUACAUUUAACUUAUCGUCUCCGUCUGAAAACCUUCAAAACAGAAACUUUUCAGGAAUUGGAACAUACCAUUAUGAAACUUUUAUAUAUUUUGAAUAAAUGUUUUGUGUCCUUGAGUCAUGAAAUGUUCAGAGAACAUUGAGGGGAGUUCAUUUAAAGCGGUAAUGUAAAAAUAUAUAUUUGCAAAAUUGGAGUUACAAGGUUUUCAUCAGACAGCGACGUUAUGCUGUUUUGUCCAUUGUUAAAGGUAGGCUAAUAGUUUUAUGUUUUUUGCCAUGAUUUCCUAUUGUUUUUGCCUCUCCUGAGUCCAGGUCUUGUUAUAUAGUAUGUAUUAUUAGAGCUGCCCCCUGCCUGUUAAGCUGCCAAGCAACAGUUCAGCCCCUUUCCAGUGGCCUAGCUACAAUCUGUUUCUCUGGACAGCCAAACCAGUCUCUGUUUCUCUGGACAGCCAAACCUCCUGCCUGCUAGUGGCCUAGCUACAGUCUGUACAGCCAAACUCCCUGCCUGCUAGUGGCCUAGCUACAAUCUGUUUCUCUGGACAGCCAAACCAGUCUCUGUUUCUCUGGGCAGCCAAACCUCCUGCCUGCUAGUGGCCUAGCUACAGUCUGUACAGCCAAACUCCCUGCCUGCUAGUGGCCUAGCUACAAUCUGUUUCUCUGGACAGCCAAACCCCCUGCCUGCUAGUGGCCUAGCUACAGUCUGUACAGCCAAACUCCCUGCCUGCUAGUGGCCUAGCUACAGUCUGUACAGCCAAACCCCCUGCCUGCUAGUGGCCUAGCUACAGUCUGUACAGCCAAACCCCCUGCCUGCUAGUGACCUAGCUACAGUCUGUACAGCCAAACUCACUGCCUGCUAGUGGCCUAGCUACAAUCUGUUUCUCUGGACAGCCAAACCCCCUGCCUGCUAGUGGCCUAGCUACAGUCUGUACAGCCAAACCCCCUGCCUGCUAGUGGCCUAGCUACAGUCUGUACAGCCAAACCCCCUGCCUGCUAGUGGCCUAGCUACAGUCUGUACAGCCAAACCCCCUGCCUGCUAGUGGCCUAGCUACAGUCUGUACAGCCAAACCCCCUGCCUGCUAGUGGCCUAGCUACAGUCUGUACAGCCAAACCCCCUGCCUGCUAGUGGCCUAGCUACAGUCUGUACAGCCAUGUGGUUAAUGCAGGUCAUAUGGAUGGACAACACCACUCACGUGAACGAUCGGGUUGAAAUACAGCCUCCGUCUUUCUGCCCAUGCUGCCUCAGUUACUGUGUUGUGGUUCCAGAACCUCAGUACAGCUGGAAUGGAUCAUUAGGCUCCUCUAUGCUCCAUGACAGAACAGACACAAUAGUUCUGUUGUCAAGUCAUCUGUUCCACUGCUUUUCCUUUUGAGUAACUAGAAGGGAAAUGGUCAGGUCAGGGUAACUAGAAGGGAAAUGGUCAGGUCAGGGUAACUAGAAGGGAAAUGGUCAGGUCAGGGUAACUAGAAGGGAAAUGGUCAGGUCAGGGUAACUAGAAGGGAAAUGGUCAGGUCAGGGUAACUAGAAGGGAAAUGGUCAGGUCAGGGUAACUAGAAGGGAAAUGGUCAGGUCAGGGUAACUAGAAGGGAAAUGGUCAGGUCAGGGUAACUAGAAGGGAAAUGGUCAGGUCAGGGUAACUAGAAGGGAAAUGAAGGUCAGGGUAACUAGAAGGGAAAUGAAGGUCGGGGUAACUAGAAGGGAAAUGAAGGUCGGGGUAACUAGAAGGGAAAUGAAGGUCGGGGUAACUAGAAGGGAAAUGAAGGUCGGGGUAACUAGAAGGGAAAUGAAGGUCGGGGUAACUAGAAGGGAAAUGAAGGUCGGGGUAACUAGAAGGGAAAUGAAGGUCGGGGUAACUAGAAGGGAAAUGAAGGUCGGGGUAACUAGAAGGGAAAUGAAGGUCGGGGUAACUAGAAGGGAAAUGAAGGUCGGGGUAACUAGAAGGGAAAUGAAGGUCGGGGUAACUAGAAGGGAAAUGAAGGUCGGGGUAACUAGAAGGGAAAUGAAGGUCGGGGUAACUAGAAGGGAAAUGAAGGUCGGGGUAACUAGAAGGGAAAUGAAGGUCGGGGUAACUAGAAGGGAAAUGAAGGUCGGGGUAACUAGAAGGGAAAUGAAGGUCGGGGUAACUAGAAGGGAAAUGAAGGUCGGGGUAACUAGGGAAAUGAAGGUCAGGGUAACUAGAAGGGAAAUGAAGGUCGGGGUAACUAGAAGGGAAAUGAAGGUCAGGGUAACUAGAAGAGAAGUGAAGGUCAGGGUAACUAGAAGAGAAAUGAAAGUCAGGUGAAAUGAAGGUCAGGGUAACUAGAAGGGAAAUGAAGGUCGGGGUAACUAGAAGAGAAGUGAAGGUCAGGGUAACUAGAAGAGAAAUGAAAGUCAGGUGAAAUGAAGGUCAGGGUAACUAGAAGGGAAAUGAAGGUCGGGGUAACUAGAAGAGAAAUGAAGGUCGGGGUAACUAGAAGGGAAAUGAAGGUCAGGGUAACUAGAAGAGAAAUGAAGGUCAGGGUAACUAGAAGAGAAGUGAAGGUCAGGGUAACUAGAAGAGAAAUGAAAGUCAGGUGAAAUGAAGGUCAGGGUAACUAGAAGGGAAAUGAAGGUCGGGGUAACUAGAAGAGAAGUGAAGGUCAGGGUAACUAGAAGAGAAAUGAAAGUCAGGUGAAAUGAAGGUCAGGGUAACUAGAAGGGAAAUGAAGGUCAGGGUAACUAGAAGGGAAAUGAAGGUCGGGGUAACUAGAAGGGAAAUGAAGGUCAGGGUAACUAGAAGAGAAGUGAAGGUCAGGGUAACUAGAAGAGAAAUGAAAGUCAGGUGAAAUGAAGGUCAGGGUAACUAGAAGGGAAAUGAAGGUCGGGGUAACUAGAAGAGAAAUGAAGGUCGGGGUAACUAGAAGGGAAAUGAAGGUCAGGGUAACUAGAAGAGAAAUGAAGGUCAGGGUAACUAGAAGAGAAGUGAAGGUCAGGGUAACUAGAAGAGAAAUGAAAGUCAGGUGAAAUGAAGGUCAGGGUAACUAGAAGGGAAAUGAAGGUCGGGGUAACUAAAAGGGAAAUGAAGGUCAGGGUACCUAGAAGAGAAAUGAAGGUCGGGGUAACUAGAAGAGAAAUGGUCAGGUCAGGAUAACUAGAAGGGAAAUGAAGGUCAGGGUAACUAGAAGGGAAAUGAAGGUCGGGGUAACUAGAAGAGAAGAGAAGUGAAGGUCAGGGUAACUAGAAGGGAAAUGGUCAGGGUAACUAGAAGGGAAAUGGUCAGGUCAGGGUAACUAGAAGGGAAAUGAAGGUCAGGGUAACUAGAAGGGAAAUGAAGGUCGGGGUAACUAGAAGGGAAAUGAAGGCUGGGGUAACUAGAAGGGAAAUGAAGGUCAGGGUAUGUAGCCUGUUUAUAUACAACUAGACGGAGGGAGUUUGAUUUAACAUGUGAAUACAGGUUUCCUUGACAUUACUU